GGGAAUAUAGUUUAAUGGUAAAAUCUUAUUGUUGCAUAAUAAAGAAAAUAGUUCAAUUCUAUUUAUUUCCA
rnacentral:tRNA from 1 species